CGCGGUAAUUUGACUGUGCGAAGGUAGCAUAAUCAAUAGUUCUUUAAUUGGGGGCUGGAAUGAACGGUCGGACAAGAAGCCAACUGUCUUUGCUUGAAUUAUUGAAUUUUACUUUUGAGUGAGAAGGCUCAAAUUAUUUAAAGGGACGAUAAGACCCUAUAAAACUUUAUAGAUAGGGUUUAAUUCACGAUUUAUGAGUGUAAAGCGGGCGGCGCCUACUCUAUUAUGUUGGGGCGACAGAAAUAUAAUUUUGUAACUGUUUAUUAAAUUAAAUAAUUAUUUUUAGGUUUUGCUGAUCCUUUAGUAAGGAGUAUAAGAUCAAGUUACUUUAGGGAUAACAGCGUAAUUUUUUCUGAGAGUUCUUAUUGACGAAAGUAGUUGCGACCUCGAUGUUGAAUUAAGGCUUCUUUAGUGUGCAGAAG
rnacentral:rRNA from 1 species